AGGUGUAGAGUUGGAUGGACAUAUACUGACCUGGUGAGCCUGGAGAGAGUGGGCUAAGAGAGAGGGCUGGGCAGUGGCGGUGCCAGGCACAGGGUACGGCAUGAGGGCAUUCGUGUCUGCCUGGGUCAUGUUCCUGGGGUAAUGUCAAACAUCAAGUCAGCCUUGACAGGGACAAAAAAAGUCACAGAAGGGGCCCUUUGGCCUUUGUUGGGUGUGGAGGCUUGUGUUCUGGUUGUAGGCCGAACCUCUUUCCUCUAGCCCAUUCGCUAGGCCCAGAGGUCGGCGGCGAUCCUGAGCUGGCCUUCAAAGCCCUGUGACACUGCCCCACACCACAGGGUGGGCAUCUGAUGGGGCCUCUGCAGAUACAGGGCACAGGAUAUGUUCCCAGGUGUGUGUUCUCGAUGAAAUAUCACUGCUGCCUCUCGCCCCAGCACUGCACAGGCGUGUCAUGUGAAUUCAUGGCUGUGCAUGUGUGUUCUCCCUGCAGCCUCUGCCGGCGAGCUGGAAGCAGCCCUUUGGAUUCCAGGGACAGGCCAGAUUUAUGACACUGGGAGAAAUAUUUAGGUCUGAGACAGUGUGGUUGUGUUAAUUAUGGAAAUCUAAAGAUAAUCUAUAUUUAAUGCUGAAUUUUGUCAAAUUUGCUAAAGAAUUAGGGGAGCGUGUGCAAACAGUGACACUUCAAUGAAGAACAAGGUGCAAUUAAACUCUGAAAUUUACAGUGGAAUAAUUGGAGAGCAUGACAAAUAUAGUUAUCAGCAGCAACUAAUUAGGGGUCUGCUCGAGGUUUCUGGGCUUGAUUAAUCUCGCCUGGAUGCUAAUAAGUUAUAUGGGGCAGCUGGUAACCGGUUUGUCUCCUCCUUCCUUCUACCCUCUCUCCACAGCACUUGAGGGGUGAGGAUGUGACCCAUUCAGUUCAUUCCUCUGUGCACCCGCCCUGAAGGGAAGGGUGGGGGCACUCCAGCUCCUAUGCUGGGACCCUGCCCAGGUAACACCUUGCACCACCCCUGCUCCAGCAUCCUGAGGACUCACUGGUCGGUAGCAAGAGAAGCUGCUCCAAAGCUGCCUUACUCCCUGGUUGUGGGAGCAGAACCAAGACGUUCCGAUCCCUUGAGGAAGAGAAUGGCUCAGCACGAGGGGGCCUCACCCAGAGCCCUGGGUCUGUUCUGAGCCCCUCACCUAAAGAGGGACAUUGGGUAGUUGAAAGCAAAUCCCAGCUAUCAGGUGAUUUCAUCUGGAGUGACUUCGCCACUGGAUCAUGGUGCUGUGGGCUGAGUAGAUGAUUGAUAGGACAUCACUGGGCCUGGCUUCAGGAGAACUGGAACAAGAUCUUGCCCCUCUCUGGGCCUCAGUUUCCCUAUCUGUACCACAAGGACAUUGACCUCUGCAUGGUCUUUGAGACGUCUUCCAGUUCUGCUUGGUUUGCAGCAGAGUUGGUAACCCUGGGAAUGGAAGAGAGGGGGACACUUGAGGCUGAUGGGGAGUUUCACAGCAGCCAAAGACCCCAGGCUGCAGGACAGUGUGGGAUGAGGGUGACCCUCCACAUUGGAGAUCAGGGAUGGGGUGGCCCAGCUGGGUAGAAGUGAAGCUCCCCACCCCCACUGGACUUUGAACCUCCUGAAAUUAGGGCUGUGACUUGUGCAUUAUAAGCAUUACAUAGAUGAGAUAAGAAUUUCAUCGAUGUAAUGGAUAGAACACUAGAUAGGAGAUCAGUAAGGAAAUAGAAGACAUUACAAACCCUGUAAACCAGCCAGACCUAACAGACACUGCUUUCUAACUGCAAUCUAAGAGCACACUCCACCCAACAACAGCGGAACACACAUUCUUCUCAAGCGCACAUAGAACAUUCUCUAGUAUAGAUCAUAUCUUAGGCCACAAAUCAAGCCUCAAUAAAUUUAGAAUGAUUAAAAUUACAUAAAAUAUGUUUUCUGAGAACAGAGGAAUGAAAUUAGAAAAUGGAAGGAAGUUUGGAAAAUUCACAAAUAUGUAAAAAUUAAACAAUGCACCCCUACCUAACCAAAGGG